rnacentral:miRNA from 1 species
GGACCUGGGUGUGUGUGUGUGUGUGUGUGUGUGUGUGUGUGUGUGUGUGUGUGGCUUCAGGUGGCCUGCACCAGCCACCUGCCC